rnacentral:lncRNA from 1 species
AGGUGUUGGAAUCGGUGGGUGGAUUGCGGGUACAUUUGCACUGUGUCCUAGAGAGCCUCUAUACAUUUCAACUCCGAUUCACCUUCACCAUCUAUGUGCAGCCCACAACCACAGGACCCCGUCCCGGCCCUGAAUCUCCCAUGUCCUGGCACCAAGCAGGUGAGUCAGCCCAGGAGGAGGAAGGGCUCCCAGAAGCCAAGCCGAUGCUGGGGUGGUGAGAAACAACUUUCCUAUGCAAGGAGGUGCCUGAGCACCCCCUGAUGAUCAAGCCUGAGCCCCCUCACCUCCCUGAAGUGUGGUGAAGGAAAGACAGGCCGGAAAGGGGCGGCAGUCUUCACCCACUGUGGUUGAGUUUCUCACUCAUGCCAAGUUUUACAUAGGCUGGGGACCAUGUGCUUCAAGGCUAGAGGUCUUGGUGGGCCCAGGUCCUUGGAGGGGACUGGAUGACCAAGGGGUCUGAGGCUUAGGCCCUGGCUCUGCAUGGGGAAUCUUGGGAAGGUUGGAAGCCCACAGCCCCUACUGAAAAAGGAGCCAUGGGCCAGAUCUUUUGCACAAAUCCCACCUGUGCUCUUUGACCACCCCUCCCCACCGGGGACACGGUAGCCAGGCAGGCAGGAGCCUCCAUCCAUCCACAGGACCAGCAACCUGGGAGGACCCUGGCCUGAGCGAGCUGCUGCAGGGGACCCUCAUGCUGGUUGGUUGGCUACUUGGCACUCUUUUCUCUGUGGGGCAGGAAGACAUUUGAGAGCCACCAAAGAUGGGCAGGAAAAACAAAGGCCACCACAGAGGAAGCUGGAGGCAGAAAGAGAUGCAGAGAAAGUGGGAGAAACUUGGCUGUGCUUUGUGGGGGCCCUGCAGGGACAUCGGCUCCUGAAGGGAUGAGAGAAAGGGUCCCCUGAAUUUUGACACUCUGUUCUUCUCGAGGCCUGGCCAGCCCUGUGGCUCCUUAGAGGAAUCUGGGUGCCUUCUGUCCCUAGUACCUGACAAGCUCCAGGUCAGAAGACCUGAGUUCACCUGCGCUGCCACGUGUAACCUGAUGGCCCCGGCACCCUCGCAGGGUCUGAAUAGCUGCCCUUUCCACCUGUUUCCCAAAUUUUCCACACCACCCAGAGGCUCAUAUUCAACCCCACAGCCUACAAGUCAACCAGGGGCCUUUGGCCACAUGUACUGAUGAUGAGAAUCACUAGAUUGUAAGCUGCAAAAGGGCAAGGACAGUGUUUUGUUCCCCACUACCCCCUGAACCUGAGGCCAAGCAAGGACUGCUGCUCACAAUGAAGGAGAGCGAGUGUUCGUGGAGCUCUUUGCAGAAGCCACGGGAAGCCCUUCCUGUGCCUUCUCAGGCUUAGUUCUCAGACAGCCCCACUUUCCAGAUGAGGAAACGGAGGCUAAGCAAGGAGAAGAAACUUGUGCAGAAUCAGUGGUGAGGCCAGGAUUUGAACCCCCCCAUCCUGUUGGACUCAAUACUUCCUCUGAAAAGACAGGAUAAGGGAGCUGACUACUUCUGGCUUUGGGAACCGGCAGAGAGGAGCAGAGCUGGGCCAGACUCGUCACCUCCCGAGCUCUGCUGCACCCAAGGGUUUCCAGGGUCCUCUUCCUCCAUUUGGCUCUUUUCUUCUCUGGACUCUCCCACCUUUGAGGAUUGGACUCCUUGCAGGGAGCACAGAGCAGAGAACAGAGGAGGCCCAUCUGAGGAGAGUGUGCUGGAGCAGAUGGGGCACACAGAGAGCCCCCAAACCUGAGCCUCACCUGGAGAGCUGCUCCUGCAAGCUCAGCCCCUGUGUGCCCAGAAGUGACAUCAGCAUUCAGGAAAGGGACUGAGGGAGGAAAGAAGGAGCCAUUCCUCUUCCCAGGGGUGCCUGCCCUGGGUUCCUGAGGGAGGCUCCAUGUUUAUGUCUGCAAAGGCCAGUCCCAAACACGCCAGAGUGCAAUGCCCUCCCUCAGACCCAGGGCCAUCCUCAGAGCAGCCGGGAGGCAGCCUGUCCACUCUUACCGCAGGCAGGUCACCCAGGCAGCCUCCUCUUAGAGCUCCUGAAUUCUGGAGCAUCAAAUAGAAAUGUGAAAAACAGGCUGGGUGUGCUGGCUCACACAUGUAAUCCCAGCACUUUGGGAGGCUGAGGUGGGAGAAUCAUUUGCAUCCAGGAGGUGGAAUUUGCAGUGAGCUGAGAUCACACCACUGCACUCCAGCCUGGGCGACAGAGUGAGACUGUAAAAAAAUAAAUAAAUAAAAUAAAAAAAUAAAAAAAUAAAAAAUGAGACAAAAUAAAUGUGAUAAAAUGUUAACAAUGGGUGAAUGUAGGUGAAGAGUACGUGGCAGGGUAUUUUUUAUUCUUGCAAAUUUUGUGUAGGUUUGAAGUUACCUCAGAAUAGCAAAUGUAAGAAUGAUUCCUGCAGACACACGAGUGAUUUCAGCUGUUCACAGGGCUCAGGCAAGAAGCAGAUCUCUUGCCCUCCCUCUGAUCCGGGUCACUUAGUCCAGUCCCUGAAAGCAGUGGAUGGACAACCAUGCCACCCUCUUUCUUCAAAUACACCUUAUUUUGCAUCCUGCCCUUUUUGUGUAGCAUUAGAUCAUGAGCAUUUUCCUCUGCUACAAAUAUCCCCUCAAAUAUGUUGUUUCUUGUGACUCCUUAGUGUUCUACCCAUGAUUUCCUUGGCUGCUCCACCUUGGGUGGAAUUCAGUGAUUCUUCUGCCUUUUCACCAUUGUAAGUGAUGCUUUGAUGAACAGCUUUGUAGGUUCAUCUGUGCUGCACCUCUGACCAGUCUCUUCUGGAAGAGUCUAAAGAAGGAGACAGGGGCGUGGACCACUGGCUUUUGAAGGCAUUCGGUGGGUCCUGCCAUGCCACCUUCCAGCAUUCCAGAAAGGUGGUCCCAGUGAACAACCCACCAGGGCGGGGCCCCACUCCAUGGCACCCCAGCA